rnacentral:lncRNA from 1 species
UCAGGGUUUGUUUUUUUAAUAAUAACAACUAAUGUGUAUAUAUAAAACACUUUAAGAGUUACAAGCACUUCCCAGAUGUUUUCUCCGUCUAUCCUCAACAGCUCUGGGAGGCAGAUAGUGUGAUUUUCCUGAUUUUGCACUUUGGAAAUGAGGCUGCAGGAGGCCACUCGCCAGGGUCCUGCCGCCACUAGGUGUCUGAGGCAGGAUUUGAACGCAGGCCCCCUUGACUUUCCUCUGUGCCACCUUCUUGAUGUGCCUUUGGGGGUGGGGGAGGGUCAACUCCCCAAACCUCUGCGGACAGAUUUCCGGCUGGCCCUGUCGCCCUGCCUUGUCUUCAGGAAUCCACUUCUUCCUUGCUUCAGUUCCAUGCGGUUUGCUUCCGCAGGGCUGGUGAGGGCUUCCUCCGCCUCGGUGUCCAGCCUGCGUCGGAAUCACAGACUUAUCAAGCUCCCUGAUCCCUGCCACGCCUUCUCUCUUAUGAUACAAGAAUGGCUGCUCUGGCAGAAGAGCCAAUGACUGGUCCAGGGUCCCGCAGCCAGGAAAGGUAUGAGGCCGGAUUGGAACUCACCACCCAGCGGCCUCCAAGUAACGCUGUUUAGAGAAAGGGCAGGAGUUAGGCUGGCCGACUCCAUCGUCAUGGCAUCCGGAGAUGCUUCUAGAAUGUCUCAGCUCAGGAGUCCCCAGCCCAGAGAAUGCAGACGCCACCAGGGAGGAGCCCGGCAGCCUCUCCUCCCCCAGCACCCCUCCCCCAGCCGGCCGGCCUGCCCCGGGCCUCGCCAGGACCCUCCUCUGGACGUCCUGCUGAAGGGCCUGUGCGGACCGGGCUCUCCCAGCUCCCCCCUUUCCAGCCCCGGGCCGGCAGACCCUGCUGGAAGCCGCUCUCUUGUUGGUGGAUCAGGUGGGGGCCCAGGGAGCGGCAGAUGGACCCAGAUGGACACGGCUGGGUUUGUGCCCAGGAGCCGCCCAGCCCUGAAGCUGCGCCUGCGCCUGCGCCUGGCUCUGACCCGGCCUCUUCCUGAAUUAUGGUCUAAAAAGACCCCUGAGAAGGCUCUUUGGAUAGCCUGUCUAGAGGCGCUGGCCUGGUUGUCAGGAAGGUCUGAGUUCGAGUCCUGCCUCAGGCAACCUUCCCCACCCUCUCCAGUCUCCUAA